UACGGGGGGGGCAAGCGUUGUUCGGAAUUACUGGGCGUAAAGGGCUCGUAGGUGGCCAACUAAGUCAGACGUGAAAUCCCUCGGCUUAACCGGGGAACUGCGUCUGAUACUGGACGGCUUGAGUUUGGGAGAGGGACGCGGAAUUCCAGGUGUAGCGGUGAAAUGCGUAGAUAUCUGGAGGAAUACCGGUGGCGAAGGCGGCAUCCUGGACCGACAUUGACGCUGAUGAGCGAAAGCUAGGGGAGCAAACGGG
rnacentral:rRNA from 1 species